rnacentral:misc_RNA from 1 species
AACUUUUAGCAAUGGAUCACUUGGCUCUCGCAUCGAUGAAGAACGCAGCGAAUUGCGAUAAGUAAUGUGAAUUGCAGAUUUUCAGUGAAUCAUCGCAUCUUUGAACGCACCUUGCGCUCCUUGGUAUUCCGAGGAGCAUGCCUGGUUGAGUGUCAUUUAAUUCUCAACCAUCCCUCGAUUCGGUUCGAGGGUUUGGCUUGGAUUUUGGGGGCUGCCGGGCGACCCUAGGGUCUUCGGCUCUCCUUAAAAGCAUUAGCGAUGGCGGCGCGAUCUAACCCCCAUGCAUGAACGGCCUUCGACGUGAUAAUGAUCGUCGUGGCUGGAGUGUUUAGUGGGUGUCGUGAAGUCGGCGCUUCUAAAGACCUUUGUCGAAAGACGAAAACUCGAAACUUGACCUCAAAUCAGGUAGGACUACCCGCUGAACUUAAGCAUAUCAAUAAGCGGAGGCU